CCUACGGGUGGCUGCAGUGGGGGAUAUUGCACAAUGGGGGAAACCCUGAUGCAGCGACGCCGCGUGUGGGAAGACGGUCCUCUGGAUUGUAAACCACUGUCCCCAGGGACGAAGAUGACGGUACCUGGGGAGGAAGCUCCGGCUAACUACGUGCCAGCAGCCGCGGUAAUACGUAGGGAGCGAGCGUUGUCCGGAAUUACUGGGGGUAAAGGGAGCGUAGGGGGUGAUGCAAGUUGGGUGUAAAAACUACCGGCUCAACUGGUAGUCGCACUCAAAACUGCAGCUCUUGAGUGAAGUAGAGGCUGGCGGAAUUCCUAGUGUAGCGGUGAAAUGCGUAGAUAUUAGGAGGAACACCAGUGGCGAAGGCGGCCUGCUGGGCUUUUACUGACGCUGAGGCUCGAAAGUGUGGGGAGCAAACAGGAUUAGAUACCCUUGUAGUC
rnacentral:rRNA from 1 species